rnacentral:rRNA from 1 species
CAAUAGCGUAUAUUAAAGUUGUUGCAGUUAGAACGCUCGUAGUCGGAUUUCGGGGCGUUCCGACCGGUCCGCCGAUGGGUAUGCACUGGCCGGAGUGUCCUUUUUGCCGGAGACCGUGCCUACUCUUAACUGAGCGGGGGCGGGAGACGGCACUUUUACUUUGAAAAAAUCAGAGUGUUUCAAGCAGGCAGCUCGCUCUUGCAUGGAUUAGCAUGGGAUAAUGAAAUAGGACUUUGGUGCUAUUUUGUUGGUUUCGAACACCGAAGUAAUGAUGAGAAGGGACAGUCAGGGGCACUCGUAUUCCGCAGAGAGAGGUGAAAUUCUCAGACCCGCGGAAGACGAACCACUGCGAAAGCAUUUGCCAGGGAUGUUUUCACUGA